UACGUAGGGGGCAAGCGUUGUCCGGAAUUAUUGGGCGUAAAGCGCGCGCAGGCGGUUGUUUUAAGUCUGGUGUAUAAACCAAGGGCUCAACCUUUGGACGCAUUGGAAACUGGGCAACUGGAGUGUAGGAGAGGAAAGUGGAAUUCCACGUGUAGCGGUGAAAUGCGUAGAUAUCAGGAGGAACACCUGCGGUGUAGACGGCUUUCUGGACCAUUACUGACACUGAGACACGAAAGCGUGGGUAGCAAACAGG
rnacentral:rRNA from 1 species